GGCUCGGCGGCGGCAGCGGAGGCGGCGACACUCAGCUGCUGUGUGGAUGGGACCUGAACCCUAGGAGCCUACACUGCAAGGCUGGGGCUUCCUCCGAAGCAUCAUGGCGCCCCCCCUGGCCAGAAGGACCUCCCGCCCCCCCUCCUUGCCCGCCCCGCAGCCGUGCCCAGCAGCCGCCCUCGGAGGAGUCAGUCCAGCGCGCGGCCGCCUGUGACCUCUGACCUCCCGCCACAGCCUCUCCCCCCCCUCC